rnacentral:rRNA from 1 species
UACGUAGGGUCCGAGCGUUGUCCGGAUUUAUUGGGCGUAAAGAGCUCGUAGGCGGCUCAGUAAGUCAGAUGUGAAAACUCAGGGCUCAACCCGGAGACGCCAUCUGAUACUGCUGUGGCUUGAGUCUGGUAGGGGAUCACGGAAUUCCUGGUGUAGCGGUGAAAUGCGCAGAUAUCAGGAGGAACACCGGUGGCGAAGGCGGGUCUCUGGGCCGAUACUGACGCUGAGGAGCGAAAGCAUGGGUAGCGAACAGG